AGAGUUUGAUCAUGGCUCAGAUUGAACGCUGGCGGCAGGCCUAACGCAUGCAAGUCGAGCGGAUGAGUGGAGCUUGCUCCAUGAUUCAGCGGCGGACGGGUGAGUAAUGCCUAGGAAUCUGCCUGGUAGUGGGGGACAACGUUUCGAAAGGAACGCUAAUACCGCAUACGUCCUACGGGAGAAAGCAGGGGACCUUCGGGCCUUGCGCUAUCAGAUGAGCCUAGGUCGGAUUAGCUAGUUGGUGAGGUAAAGGCUCACCAAGGCGACGAUCCGUAACUGGUCUGAGAGGAUGAUCAGUCACACUGGAACUGAGACACGGUCCAGACUCCUACGGGAGGCAGCAGUGGGGAAUAUUGGACAAUGGGCGAAAGCCUGAUCCAGCCAUGCCGCGUGUGUAGGAAGGUCUUCGGAUUGUAAAGCACUUUAAGUUGGGAGGAAGGGCAGUAAGCUAAUACCUUGCUGUUUUGACGUUACCGACAGAAUAAGCACCGGCUAACUUCGUGCCAGCAGCCGCGGUAAUACGAAGGGUGCAAGCGUUAAUCGGAAUUACUGGGCGUAAAGCGCGCGUAGGUGGUUCAGCAAGUUGGAUGUGAAAGCCCCGGGCUCAACCUGGGAACUGCAUCCAAAACUACUGAGCUAGAGUACGGUAGAGGGUGGUGGAAUUUCCUGUGUAGCGGUGAAAUGCGUAGAUAUAGGAAGGAACACCAGUGGCGAAGGCGACCACCUGGACUGAUACUGACACUGAGGUGCGAAAGCGUGGGGAGCAAACAGGAUUAGAUACCCCGGUAGUCC
rnacentral:rRNA from 1 species